rnacentral:rRNA from 1 species
AGCAGCCGCGGUAAUUCCAGCUCCAAUAGCGUAUAUUAAAGUUGCUGCAGUUAAAAAGCUCGUAGUUGAAUUUCGGGAUCAAUAUGUUGGUCGUGCCUUGGUACGUACUAGCUCAUUGGUUUCUCCCUUCUGACGAACCAUGAUGUCAUUAAUUUGAUGUCAUGGGGAAUCAGGACUGUUACUUUGAAAAAAUUGAGUGUUUAAAGCAGGCUCGCGCUUGAAUACAUUAGCAUGGAAUAAUGAAAUAGGACAUUUGAUUCUAUUUUGUUGGUUUCUAGGAUCGAUGUAAUGAUUAAUAGGGAUAGUUGGGGGCAUUAGUAUUCAAUUGUCAGAGGUGAAAUUCUUGGAUUUAUUGAAGACUAACUACUGCGAAAGCAUUUGCCAAGGAUGUUUUCAUUAAUC